rnacentral:rRNA from 1 species
UGGGGAAUAUUGCACAAUGGGCGCAAGCCUGAUGCAGCAACGCCGCGUGAACGAUGAAGGUCUUCGGAUCGUAAAGUUCUGUUGCAGGGGAAGAUAAUGACGGUACCCUGUGAGGAAGCCCCGGCUAACUACGUGCCAGCAGCCGCGGUAAUACGUAGGGGGCUAGCGUUAUCCGGAUUUACUGGGCGUAAAGGGUGCGUAGGUGGUCUUUCAAGUCGGUGGUUAAAGGCUACGGCUCAACCGUAGUUAGCCUCCGAAACUGGAAGACUUGAGUGCAGGAGAGGAAAGUGGAAUUCCCAGUGUAGCGGUGAAAUGCGUAGAUAUUGGGAGGAACACCAGUAGCGAAGGCGGGUUUCUGGACUGCAACUGACACUGAGGCACGAAAGCGUGGGUAGCAAACAGG